UACGUAGGGUGCGAGCGUUGUCCGGAAUUAUUGGGCGUAAAGAGCUCGUAGGCGGUUUGUCGCGUCGGCCGUGAAAACUGGAGGCUUAACCUCCAGCUUGCGGUCGAUACGGGCAGACUUGAGUUCGGUAGGGGAGACUGGAAUUCCUGGUGUAGCGGUGAAAUGCGCAGAUAUCAGGAGGAACACCGGUGGCGAAGGCGGGACUCUGGGCCGAUACUGGCGCUGAGGAGCGAAAGCGUGGGGAGCGAACAGG
rnacentral:rRNA from 1 species